ACGGAAGGCAGCAGUGGGGAAUAUUGGACAAUGGGGGAAGCCCUGAUCCAGCGACGCCGCGUGAGUGAAGAAGUAUUUCGGUAUGUAAAGCUCUAUCAGCAAGGAAGAAAAUGACGGUACUUGACUAAGAAGCCCCGGCUAACUACGUGCCAGCAGCCGCGGUAAUACGUAGGGGGCAAGCGUUAUCCGGAUUUACUGGGUGUAAAGGGAGCGUAGACGGCAUAGCAAGUCUGAAGUGAAAUGCAUGGGCUCAACCCAUGAACUGCUUUGGAAACUGUUAAGCUAGAGUGCAGGAGAGGUAAGUGGAAUUCCCAGUGUAGCGGUGAAAUGCGUAGAUAUUAGGAGGAACACCAGUGGCGAAGGCGGCUUACUGGACUGUAACUGACGUUGAGGCUCGAAAGCGUGGGGAGCAAGCAGGAUUAGAUACCCUGGUA
rnacentral:rRNA from 1 species